rnacentral:rRNA from 1 species
UACGUAGGGAGCAAGCGUUGUCCGGAAUCAUUGGGCGUAAAGCGCGCGUAGGCGGCCCGGUAAGUCCGCUGUGAAAGUCAAAGGCUCAACCUUUGAAUGUCAGCGGAUACUGCCGGGCUAGAGUCCGGAAGAGGCGAGUGGAACUCCUGGUGUAGCGGUGGAAUGCGCAGAUAUCAGGAAGAACACCAACGGCGAAGGCAGCUCGCUGGGACGGAACUGACGCUAAGGCGCGAAAGCGUGGGGAGCAAACAGG